rnacentral:rRNA from 1 species
UACGGAGGAGGCAAGCGUUAUCCGGAAUUAUUGGGCGUAAAGCGUCCGUAGGUGGUUUAGUAAGUCUGCUGUUAAAGCGCGGGGCUUAACUCCGUAUCGGCAGUGGAAACUACUAGACUAGAGUGUGGUAGGGGUAGAGGGAAUUCCCAGUGUAGCGGUGAAAUGCGUAGAUAUUGGGAAGAACACCAGUGGCGAAGGCGGCUCACUGGACCGGAACUGACGCUGAUGCGCGAAAGCGUGGGGAGCAAACGGG